rnacentral:rRNA from 1 species
UACGUAGGGGGCAAGCGUUGUCCGGAUUUAUUGGGCGUAAAGAGCGUGUAGGCGGCUUGGCAAGUCCGCUGUGAAAACUCGAGGCUCAACCUCGAGACGUCGGUGGAAACUGCCCUGGCUAGAGUCCGGAAGAGGAGAGCGGAAUUCCUGGUGUAGCGGUGAAAUGCGCAGAUAUCAGGAAGAACACCCGUGGCUAAGGCGGCUCUCUAGUACGGUACUGACGCUGAGACGCGAAAGCGUGGGGAGCGAACAGG